GUUGCCUGUUCCUGGCCAGCUCACCUGUCGUGCCUUUGUUGGAUUUGUUUGCCUGUUCACACUGCCAUCCUGUUGCCAACCAUGAAAGCCCGUUCCUGACCAUCAAGUGGAUAAACUGCAUGCUCAUCUAAUAAUCACUUCAAAAAAAGGGAUACCAAAUGGAAGCGAAGAAAAAGACAUGCUGCUGUGGUGCUGAUCCGCCAGAACUACGUCCACAUAGACGUUAUAGUGAGCAGACGGAUCCAGAACGCUGAUGUUGAAGCUCAGGAAGGGGAACAUCCUCCUGGAGAAACACACAGGGAUAAACAUAAUUAAUAAUUUUUCGAAUAUCAUUUUGUCUGCAUGUAUCUUUAUUUAUUUUUUGGGAAUUGCAUCAUCUUAUGGCUAAAAUUAGCAGGCCUCGACAUUUCAAUAUUUUUUUGUGUUGCCUCAAAUGUUAAAGUUGACAGUUGUUAAACACAAUACAGCUGAUGGAAAUGUAAAAAAUAAAUUUACUAAAAAUGUGAAUAGCUGA